UACAGAGGGUGCAAGCGUUAAUCGGAAUUACUGGGCGUAAAGCGUGCGUAGACGGUUAAGUAAGUCAGGUGUGAAAGCCCCGGGCUCAACCUGGGAAUUGCAUUUGAGACUGCCUAGCUAGGGUGCGGAAGAGGGAAGCGGAAUUUCCGGUGUAGCGGUGAAAUGCGUAGAUAUCGGAAGGAACAUCAGUGGCGAAAGCGGCUUCCUGGUCCAGCACCGACGUUCAGGCACGAAAGCGUGGGGAGCAAACAGG
rnacentral:rRNA from 1 species